ACAGCAGUCGCCGCGGUAAUACGAAGGGUGCAAGCGUUAAUCGGAAUUACUGGGCGUAAAGCGUGCGUAGGCGGUGAGUUAAGUCUGCUGUGAAAUCCCCGGGCUCAACCUGGGAAUGGCAGUGGAUACUGGCAAGCUAGAGUGUGUCAGAGGAUGGUGGAAUUCCCGGUGUAGCGGUGAAAUGCGUAAAGAUCGGGAGGAACAUCAGUGGCGAAGGCGGCCAUCUGGGACAACACUGACGCUGAGGCACGAAAGCGUGGGGAGCAAACAGGAUUAGAUACCCGCGUAGUCCCUGUCUCUUAUAC
rnacentral:rRNA from 1 species